AGCAGCCGCGGUAAUUCCAGCUCCAAUAGCGUAUAUUAAAGUUGUUGCAGUUAAAAAGCUCGUAGUUGAAUUUCGGGAUCAGUGGGUCGGUCGUGCCACUGGUAUGUACUGGCCCUACUGGUUCCUCCUUCUUGAGGAACUGUGAUGUCAUUAAUUUGGUGUUGCAGGGAAACAGGACUGUUACUUUGAAAAAAUUAGAGUGUUUAAAGCAGGCAAUCGCUUGAAUACAUUAGCAUGGAAUAAUGAAAUAGGACGUUCGACCCUAUUUUGUUGGUUUCUAGGAUUGACGUAAUGAUUAAUAGGGAUAGUUGGG
rnacentral:rRNA from 1 species